UUUUUUUUUUUUUUUAUCAUUUUUCUUUGCAUUACAUAAAGUAACAAAAAGCAAUCAGAUGUCAAAACUCGCGUCCUAUAUUCUUCUGCCUGUGUUUCUAAACUGUUCAUUUCAGAAGACUUGGAACAAGAAGCUAUAGCUCAGGUAAUCAACUGAGAUCCUUGUAUGGAUUUACCUCCAAUAACUAAGCUAAUAGGCUACCUCAACUGACAACUAAACAUCCGGACACUGUAGAACCAACAAUCCCGUCUAAUCUUUGCAGCAGUAGCUAUUCAUACAGCCAACACUAAAGCUAAAAUUCUCAUUACAAGCUUCUUUGCUAUUCAGAAACUCGGCAACUUUCAUGCACUACAUAAGAUCUUAUUUUAAAUGCAUCAACAACAUUAAAUUGACAUUCAGGAUAAUGCACCAAAUGAAUUAUGAAUAGAAACAGAGCAUUGAUGUUGGAUGCUUUAUUCGAUACAAGAAAAAGAACCAUGAGGAGCAGUUUGCCACUCCAACUGUAUUAUGGCUUUCUCUCAACUGUUUGCAUUGCUUCAUCAUACACAGGAUUAACAGCUAAUUUAGGUUGACCAGAGCAAUCUGUGGAUUCUUGAAUGGCACAUCGAGUUAAUAAUUUUGCUGCUCCAAGGGAAGAAUGGAACUGUUCAUGCCCUGCUGGCUUCAAGAACAUCAGCUCAUCAUCAUUCCUCUCAUAAAGCAAGCACUGCAUUUUCCUCCCCUGAACCUCAUCCUUCACUCUCUGCAGCAGCCUCGAAUCAAACUUUGGCAAUCCAAUUUGUUCAACAGUAAGCGAACCGAAGAAGUUACCCAGCAAGGCAGCAUCAGGGACAGCCAAUCCUUGAACCAAGCCCGUCACCAGACCACCUAAGAAGCUAUCCCCUGCACCCGUGGGAUCCUCUUGAUUAGCCAAAAAGGGCGAGAUUCCCAUCUCCCUAUCUUUCCAACACACCUUACAGCCAUCUUCCCCAUUCGUCACCACCACAUAACACCACUUCCUCACCUCCUCCACAUCCAUGAACAUGGCCUCCUCUGAUGACACUUUUAAAAACCCAAUUCGAGGCAAUAGGGAACAAAACCCUGUUUCUCGUAACUCAACAAGCUUAACAGUCCCAUCAACGGCAUCAAAAUCUCUUAUUAAAGAUUGAAUAUCCACGAGAACCACAUCACAAAUCUCAAUCAUUCUCUCAAGCGUCUCGGGCAAUAUCUCCCCGCCAACCCCAACCGCCAUUCCAAAAUCGAACUUCGCGUCAGGAAGAUCGAUCGGGCUAAUCCUAUCACUAGCGCAGACCCGUUUUAAUACCCGAUCUUGGUUUCCAUUGUCGUGUAUACCCGAAUCAAAAUAGGCAUGAAAUACAGUCGUCUUGGAAGCAGACACUAAAAUUGGGCUAUGAUUAACUUCGUAUCUAAAAUCGUGGCCAACUUUCGCAACUAAAAUACAAGGAAUUGACAUCCCAUUAAGGACGCUGGCUACAAACGAGGAGGCGCCGCCGAGAGAUUGGCCAACGACGAUGCCAUUUUGGAUCAAAACAUCGUGGCAGUAGUUGCCGACGAUUAAAACACGGGGAGUGGGAGUUUGAUGGGUUUUCUGGAUAGCGGUUACCAUUGUGGGUUGCGGUGGGUUUGGGGGUCAUGAGUGAAGAGGAAGAGCUAAGAGAAUGAGAGGGUUUGGUGGUGAUAGCAAGACAUAGCAGACAAAGCAGAGCACAUAUUUUCAGGAAAUGGACGGUGCGAAUUGUGUAGUCUCUGUUGGGGGAGAAAUGGACAAAAGUUAGGGUGAGCUUAUGUGUCGAGAGAGACAGAAGACGCGCGCUGAA
rnacentral:misc_RNA from 1 species